UCUGGGUAGUGUAGUUCCCGCCGCGGGGCCCCCAGUGCCCCGCGUGCCGUGCGUGCCCCGCGUGCCCGGGGGCCGAGCCCUCUGGGUGCUGCUACACAAGCCACGUGAGCGCGCGGUCCGUCGUGGUAUCUUUGCCGAGCCGUGAGCUCCCAGUCCUGGCUCCGUCUCUCUGAGACUCGUCCGGACUGUGGGACGGGCUUCCUCUCACGGAGGUACCCGCCCGGGCCGCGCGCUCUCCCGAGCCUCCUCACCGGUCCUCGGUCCCGCCGCCCCGGCAAGUGGCACCCUGGGCCCCGAAGGCAUUUUACGCAGGACUGGGUGGGGACUGAGGCCAUCCAUCCCUCCGCAGGGCUGGGGUCGGGUCUGCUGACACGUGGGACCCAACGAGGCGUCCGCGUUUCAGGGCGCGUCUUCGCUUCCAGGGUCGCCGGCGGCGGCGGUGAUGACCGGCCCCGCGCUGGAUCGGCGGAACCCAUCACUGCAAGGGAGGCUCCUUAAUGUAACCCAGAGGCACCUAUACUGUGAUGUGCUGUGGGAGAACUUUGAGCUCAUCGGCUCUCUGGGUUAACAUCAUGCAAGCUUGCAAAGAAAAAUAUUUAAAGAAUCCAUUUACACAGCGGAGGCAAAUGGGUGAAUUUGGAGCUGAGAGACAGUUCGGUGAUAACCAGCACAGUAACCUAUGCAGAGCUGUCCAACAUUGACCUAUUCUACACAUGGCGUGAAUCAUGCACAUAUCCUUCUGCGUCACACUCGAACCAGCUGCUGUGCUGCAAUGACUUUUUCAUGGGACUGGACACAUGCCUCUUCACAAUGCUGUCACCAGUAGCCAAGGCCCUGCCAAAACCCUUUGCAGAGAAGUGAGUUGGAGACCAUAGCUCUCCUUCCACUUCUGCUGUGUCCUCAUCUCUGUUGAGAUCUUUCACAUUCUGUCGUCUGGCUGGGUCCUAGCCUGCAGGGUCAGCCCUUCCAUCCAGAACCCCCCACCCCCAGCUUCACAGGACCUUCCGGCAAUCCCAUGGACUCCUUCCUGAGUGUGUUGACUUGCACUGGUGAUGAAGGUGCUUCCUCGUCCAAUCCUAGCACUCAGUUCACUGACAUUUCUCUGCUUUCACAUUGUCUGUGUCAAGUGGAAGAGGAGGAGGACACCCUCGAGCAGCUGAAGAGCUAUUGGGCCCACUCAUCAGAACACCCCUUCAUGUGUGGGGAGUGUGGCAUGGACUUCCAGGCCAGCUUUGGCCUCAGCCAGCAACAAGCCGCUCACAGUAUGGGGAAGCUACUGAGCAGCACCAGGGAGACCUUCCCUCACAGCUCCAUCAGGCAGCACCCAGGAGUCCACACCGGACAGAAACCCUUCAAGUGCAACAACUGUGGGAAAUCUUUCCUGGAGAGUUCCCAGGACCCUGGGAUCAUGACCUGAGUGGAAGGCAGACACUUACCUGAGCCACUCAGAUGCCGCUAGAAUACCCUCGUUAGUCCAACUAAUGUGGAAAAGUCUUCAGCUGCAGCUCCAACCUUAUUCCACUCCAGAAGGUUUGCACUGAAGGCCUUACGAGUACAGUGAAAGUGCCUUCAGCCACGGCUAUCGCCUUGUUCAACCUCACAUCAGAGAGAAGACUGUGAGGGCGCCACUGCCAGAAGUCCAACCUUGUGAUAGUUUUCUGUUUCUGUGUAACAGUUGCAGUUACUAAAACAUCCAUUUCUUAGUUCACAGUACUGAGGUCAGAAUUCUAGCACAACCUCCUACUAGAAUGAAGGUGCUGGCCAGACUGAGUUCUUGUCUGGAGGCUCUGGGGGAAAAUCCAUCCUAGUCUUAUGGAUUACCAUGGAAAAAUCUUUUUUGGGGAGGGAAGGGCAGCAAAGCAGGGUUUAAUGAGCGAUAGUGAAGCUUAUUGAAUGAUAGAGUACAAAGCUCCCAAGGAGGGAGGGCCCCAGAGGGUUGCCCUACAAUGGAAAAGUCUUGAGGUCAUCUUAGAAUUCUGCCUACCACUUUUUUUUUAAAAAGAUUUUAUUUAUUCAUUUGAGAGAAACAGAGAGCACGAGCAGGGGGCGAGAUCUAGAGGGAGAAGCAGACUCCCCGCUGAGCUAGGAACCUGAUGUGGGGCUCAAUCCCAGAACCCAAAGAUCAUGACCCGAGCUGAAAGCAGACACUUAACCAUUUGAGCCACCCAGGCGCCUCUGCCUACCAUGCUUUUAAAAGGGCAAAAGAUCUGGACACCUCAGCAAAGAAGAUACACAAGCGGCAAAUAAGCAUAAGAAAAUAUGCUCAAGAUUGUAUGCCCUUAGGGAAUUGCAAGUUAAAACAAUAUCAAUACAUAUGUAUUAGAAUAGCUAAAAUCCAAAAUACAACAGAAGUUACCAGAACUCUCAUUCACUGCUGGGGAGAAUGCAAAAUGGUACAGCCACUUUGGAAGAGUUUGAUAGUUUCUUGCAAAGUUAAAUAUAGUCCUACUAUAUGAUCCAGCAAUCACACUCCUAGGAAUUUACCCAAAUGUGCUGAAAACUUACAUCCACACACAAAAAAAGGCACACAGAUGUUUGUAAUUGCUCAGAACUGGAAUCAACUGAGAUGUUCUUCCAUAGGAAAAUGGAUAAAGAAACUGGCACAUCCAUACAAUGGACUAUUAUUCAGCAAUUAAAAGAACUGAGUUGUCAAGCCACAAAAAGGACUGGAGGAUUCUUAAAUGCAUUUUGCUAAGUGAAAAAGUCAGUGUGGAAAAGGCACCCACCAUACAAUUCCAACUUUAUGACAUUCUGGGAAGGGCAAAAUUUAGAGACAAUAAAAUCGUGGUUG